CUGUUGGAGUUACCUGUUAGAGUUACCUGUUAGAGUUACCUGUUACUCACCAACAUGUGGAAAACACUGAUUUUCGUCUGCGUCUUGGUGGCUUUUGCCUCGUCUCAAUCUGUAGUGUUCAAGGACUGUGGUUCUAAGACGGGCGCGAUCACCGCCGUGAGCGUGACGCCCUGCCCCAGCGAGCCCUGCGUUCUCAAGAAGGGCUCCAACGUCAGCAUGGAAGUCACCUUCACCACAAAGGCAGAGAUGACGAAGCUGCAGACGGACGUGUACGCGAUUCUGUUAGGAAAGAAGCUGCCGUUCCCGAACUUCCCGUACCCGGACGGCUGCAAGGACUCCGGCCUCACCUGUCCGCUCAAGUCCGGAGGAAACUUCACCUACAAGUCCCAGCUGCAUGUGGACACAUACUACCCAGAGGUGGGUUAACUGUACAUGUUCGUACCGGGAGAGAGGGGGGAGGGGGCCUGACCUGUCCGCUGAAGUCCGGCGAAAUCUUCACAUAGAAAUCCCAGCUGCACGUGUAUAACGACUACCCAGGGGUGAAGGUGGUUGUCGAGUGGCAGCUGACAGACCAGAACGGCGACAUCCUCUUUUGUUUCGAGGUUCCCGCGCAGAUCACCAAGUAGCGGCAGCUGAAGCCCCGGGCGACAGCGGGAACACGCUAACAAACACAAUGGCAUUAUAAUUCACAUACAUGAUGUCAUCACAAAAUCUAUGGUAUAUAAUCGGUCUUUGGUACAUGGUAUAAACUAGAUCCUCGAAGCUGGUGUGUUACGUCGAAGGGCUAUGCAUGUACAAGCCUUACAUGGAGUCUUGCUACCUAUAACGUUGUAGGCUAAUUUCAUUAAAUCUUUAUGAAACAGAAAACUGUAUGUUUUACCUCUGGUUGUUGCUUGCAUUUUGUAAUAAAUUUUCUUCUACAACA